GGGGGGUGGAGCAGAGAUGCACCAUGCAUUUGCUUGUAUAUUCAAAAAAUGUUCCUGUAAAACCACAGAAAAAAAGUAGCAUUGGUUCCCUGUGAAAAAGGCAAAACUAACCUACGUUGUUAGAAAUCAGCAAAGUGGCUAGUCGCAACAAGGAGGGUCCUUACUGGGAUGGAGCACAGUGAAGAUUUCUUAGGGUGCCACUUAAUGUCUUCUUUCUUAAUCUAGGUGCUGACUACAUAAGUGAGUUCUCUUUGAGAAAAAUUCAUUGAGCCAACCACAAUUUCUGUUCUUCUCUGUGUGUUAUAUAUCAAUAUAGUUUACUCAAAAGUAAAGUGCUAUAAUACAUAACUUUCUUUUCUCUUCCUGUCUUUUCCUCUAGAUUGGGGGUCAAGUAACUGUGGCCUAGCCUUUUUUGGUACACAAAGGUUUGCUGAAACUCAGGCAUAUAGCAGAUCUGAGUAGUCACGACAGAGGCCGUACAACCUACAAAGCCUAAAACAUUUACCACCUGACCCUUGACAUAAAGAAUACUUGCCAACUCCUGCACUACACUGUAAACUAUGACUCCAUCUGGAAUCACAGCCAUCACGACUGCAAUCCCUGAAAUUUCCACGACUUUCCACAGGUCACAGCACUCCUCCCACCACAGUGAAGUCUCUGAGAGAUAAAGGCAUUAAAGGUUUACAUGCACUAUGCAUUAUUUUCUACAGUAAAAAGCUCUAAUGUUUACUUAACCAUAAUCUCCCUAAAGCUGAUAAGGCCCUUUGUCUUAGUCAUGGGAUAGAAAGACUGGUUGUUCUCCUAAAUAGUAACUUUAUGAAAAUUAACACAAUAAAGACAGUUGUCUCUUUCUGACUUCUGUGCCCAAGAUCAAUGUACUUCACUCCAUAUGUUUUAACCCCUCCACUGAAUGUUCUCUGCCAAGCAUUUUCAAGCUGAUAAAUGUGAUGAUGAGUAUUUGAGCCUAGUUUGCUGCCCAACAAUGCAAAGGUAUGUAUUUCCUAAAAAUGUGCAAUGUCUUCUAAAUAUGACAUGUACCACCAACAAUUUGUGAGGUGACGUUAAGUGAUACACAAAUAACUAAUUCUAAUGGCUAUCUAUCCAUUUUAAUGUGUCUUGACAUAAAGUAUCAUUGACACAUCAAAACAGUAUGAUAUUGGCAAAAGGACAGAGACACUAGUGAGAGUUCAGAAGUAAACACAUAUAUUUAUCAUCCAUUGAUUUUUAACAAGAAUGCCAGUACCAUUCAAUGAGGCAAUAAACAGUUCUAGCCGAAGUGGAUAUACAAAGGUUAAAAACUGAAUUCAAAGCCAGGCGCGGUGGGUCACGCCUGUAAUCCCAGCACUUUGG
rnacentral:lncRNA from 1 species